GCUGCGAUGGCCGAGUGGUUAAGGCGUUGGACUCGAAAUCCAAUGGGAUAUUCCCGCAAAGGUUCGAACCCUGUUUGCAGCA
rnacentral:tRNA from 1 species